rnacentral:Y_RNA from 1 species
GAAUGGUCAGAGUGCAGUGGUGUUUACAACUAAUUGAUCACAACCAGUUACAGAUUUCUUUGUUCCUUCUCCACUCCCACUGCUUCACUUGACUAGCCUUAA